AACCUGGUGGGCACCCACUUGGUUUUAAAUAAUUUAAUUUCUUUUAAUAAAAAAAUAAAUAAUACGGUAAAACUCCCUUUAUCUUCCACUUCCACCGUCCAACCCAACAACAACACCUCCUUCUUCUUUCUGUAAUUGGAUUUUGUUAUUCCUUCAAAGCAAAAUCUUCACUGUUGUUCUCUCAUCUCAAUUGCGUGUUUGUCACAGUAUUUUGCUGUUUUUUGUUGUGGCUCUUUUCUUGUUCAUUGUCGUUCCUUUGCCGUCGUCGCCGUCCUUUUCCUUGUUUGAUCCAUUUUCUGUGUAAACAAAUUAUAAUCACUCGUAUGUAGUGUUGGAGCCUGAUAAGGGAGUUCUCGAGGGAUAAAAUUCUAGUUCAUUGUUAUCACCAAAGGUGGGGUGGAGUGAUAGAAAGGAAAUGAGAAAUGUUAUCACCAUUCACCUGGAUUGUUGUUAUAUGAGGAUGAAAACCCAAGAUAUUUCAUGAUGGAAUCCCACCAAUCCAAAUUAGGCAAGGAAGCAUGAUCUUCUUCUUCCACUUCGUGAUUAUUAUUAUGUUGUUGUUGCAGUUGUUCUUGCUGGUUUGAUUUCUUUUCUGGGCUAGUACUACGACAAANNNNNNNNNNNNNNNNNNNNNNNNNNNNUCGUAGGACGGUUAGCAGUGGUGGUGGUGGUUGUUGUCGUUGUCGGGGUUAUUGGGAGUGGGAACAAG
rnacentral:lncRNA from 1 species